rnacentral:rRNA from 1 species
CUACGGGUGGCAGCAGUGAGGAAUAUUGCACAAUGGAGGAAACUCUGAUGCAGCAACGCCGCGUGGAGGAUGACGCAUUUCGGUGUGUAAACUCCUUUUAUAUGUCAAGAAAAUGACGGUAGCAUAUGAAUAAGCUCCGGCUAGCUCCGUGCCAGCAGCCGCGGUAAUACGGAGGGAGCAAGCGUUACUCGGAAUCACUGGGCGUAAAGGACGCGUAGGCGGGAUAGAAAGUCAGGUGUGAAAUCCUAUGGCUCAACCAUAGAACUGCACUUGAAACUUCUAACCUAGAGUAUGGGAGGGGAAGAUGGAAUUAGUGGUGUAGGGGUAAAAUCCGUAGAUAUCACUAGGAAUACCAAAAGCGAAGGCGAUCUUCUGGAACAAUACUGACGCUAAGGCGUGAAAGCGUGGGGAGCAAACAGGAUUAGAUACCCGGGAGUC